rnacentral:rRNA from 2 species
UUAGAGUUGGUGUCCUACAAUACCCUCUCGUGACUCUGGUGUAGGGGUGAAAGGCCCAUCGAACUUGGCAACAGCUGGUUCCAACCGAAACAUGUCGAAGCAUGACCUCUGAUGAGAUAGUUCGUGAGGUAGAGCGACCGAUUGGGAAUCCGGACUCCGAGAGGAGUUCGCUUCCCUGUCAAACUCCGAACUUACGAACGUCGUAGACUCAGGGAGUCCGGUGUGCGGGGUAAGCUUGUGCACCGUGAGGGAGACAACCCAGAGCCAGGUUAAGGACCCAAAGUGUGGAUUAAGUGUGAUUGAAGAUUGUCUCGAGCCCUAAACAGCCGGGAGGUGAGCUUAGAAGCAGCUACCCUCUAAGAAUAGCGUAACAGCUUACCGGCCGAGGUUCGAGGCGUCGAAAAUGAUCGGGACUCAAAUCCACCUCCGAGACCUGGCGGCGUGUCACACGACACGAUUCCGUAGGUUGGCAUACUGCAUGGGUGGAAGCACGGGUGAGAACUCGUGUGGACCGUGCAGCAACGAAAAUCAUGGUCUCAGUAGCAGCGAGAGUCGGGUGUGAACCCCGACGGCCUUACGCGCAAGGGUUCCUCGGCACUGUCAAUCAGCCGAGGGUUAGUCGAUCCUAAGUCUAUCCGUAAUUCGAAAUAGAUGAAAGGGAAACUGGUUAAUAUUCCAGU